ACGCAUUCCUGGCAGGAGAGAUCCCAUGAUCUUGCAGGUGGUUUUCCCGGGGCUAGGCUUAUCCACUGUACUCCAGAUGUGCUGACACCUGUGAUUUUCCCAAAUGUGGAAAACGACUGCAUAAUUUGUGAUAGUGGGGGACUGUAUUCAUGUUCUGUCCUGGU
ensembl:snRNA U1 U1 spliceosomal RNA